UGUGGUGGCGAUAAGCGAGAAGGAUACACCUGUUCCCAUGCCGAACACAGAAGUUAAGCUUUUAGCGCCGAUUGUAGUGAAGGGUUUCCCUUUUUGUGAGAGUAGGACGUCGCCACGC
rnacentral:rRNA from 1 species